UAAUUGCAUGACAGUUUGACUGGUUCGUUGAGAGUGAGGAACCUAUGGACUCUCACACACCAAGAUGGAAUUUAGUUCGAAGAGUGACUUCAAAAUGUUCCGCAAGUUUUAGCGUAAACUGGUGGAGACUUUCGGUGCUUGCAAAAAGGCUCACCUCUCCGUUAAUACCGAAGGAAAAUGGGAGUUUAAAAAUGGUUGGAUAUUGGAUUCAUUUUAAAUGAGGAACCAUACGAUUAGACUGUUUUGAUGAGGAAUUUAAAGAUUACGAGUCGUGUCCGUUUGACUCACAGUUUGGUACCAUAGGUUGGUACGAUGUUCGUUGGAGAAGGA